rnacentral:pre_miRNA from 1 species
UUUUAAGUGUAGGUAUGCUUCAUGAAAUAUUUGGGGCACAUUUAUACUAAAA